rnacentral:pre_miRNA from 1 species
GGGGGGAACAGUGGAUCUUGGGCUGUGUCCCCGGCGCCCUGGGCUCCGGGGCCUGCUCUGUUGGAUUCACGCUCCCAGGCUGCGCAGCCCCCU